rnacentral:misc_RNA from 1 species
AAAGUCGUAACAAGGUCUCCGUAGGUGAACCUGCGGAGGGAUCAUUGACGAAUGGCCUCCGUGCCUUCGAACCCCUCCAACCUCGUGGAACAGAGCCAGAUGUGCUUCGGCGACCCCUCCCGAAAGGUCGGGGCGCCGCUUUCAUGCAGUACCCGAAGCCUUUAUGUCCGAGAAUGAACCAUAUGGAAUCAAAACUUUCAACAAAGGAUCUCUUGGCUCUC